UGAGCCAGUUGGAUGGUUACUCUUGGAAAACCGUUGGUAGUCCAAGAGAGGAAAGUCCGAGCACCGCAGGAUAGGGUGCCUUGUAACGCAAGGAAUCCGUAAGGAUAUGGAAAGUGCAACAGAAAAAAAACCGCCUUGGCACAUGUGCCAAGGUAAGGAUGAAAAGGUGGUGUAAGAGACCACCAGUCUUUCUGGAGACAUAAAGAGCUUGUAAACCCCACCUGGUGCAAGACCGAAUAGGUUCAGAGAUGUGAUCCGCAUCUUUUGAUGGACGGGUAGGUUGCUUGAUCUCGAUGGUAGCAUUGAGACUAGACGAAUGACCAUCUAUCCCUGAUUUCAGGGUGGACAGGACUCGGCUUACAGACUGGCUCAAAUA
rnacentral:RNase_P_RNA from 1 species